CUCGCCAGAAAUCUAAUCUCCUCUCUGCCGCCGCGGCGCAGCCGUUUACGGUGGCAUGUUCAGCAGGAGGCCGUCGGCGGGAUACGAGUCGGAACAGCAGCUACGGCUGCUCUCGCAGUCACUAGGGCGCCAUGGCGCCUCUGGCGCCCCCUUCAGCCUCCACGCGGAGCUGCAGAAGCUCUCCACCUAAGAAAUCAUGGACGCCAAGGCGCUGGCCGCGUCCAAGAGCCAAAACGACGCGGAGAGGCGGCGAAGAGAGAGAAUCAACAAUCAUCUUGCUAAGUUGAGAAGCUUGCUCCCCAACACAACCAAAAUGGAGAGUGACGAAUGUGCUCUUCAUCAGCAGCGGAGAUGGAGGCGAGGGUGUCGGCAGGGUGGGUCUUGUAGGUGACGGCGGCGGACUUGCUGAUGCCGUCGUCGUCGGUGAGUGGAGCUUUAGCAUCAAAAAUUUGGUUGAAAUCUGCUGAGAAAGAUGACUGCUAAGCAAGAAGAAGAAAAAAAGGAAUAUGCAGAAAAAAUUGCAGGUGGGCCCCACAAUUCGAAUUAAAAAAAAAAUCAUUAACGUUGACUGACGGCGUUUGGUCAGAGGGGUUUAAGUGUACGAUUUUUUGAACUUUAGGGGCUAAUUUGCACACACAGUGAGUAUGAGGAGCAAUACGCUAUAAGGGCCUACACUACAGGGGUCUAUAUGCACCUUCACCUUUUAUAAUAUUGCAUGUAAGCUGAAAAAAUCCGCUACAAGUCAUGCAAUAUUCUUUUUGUAAUUAAUUAUUUUGUAUGUGUAGUAGAUUCGAAUUUUGCCAAUAUUUUUUUAAAUUUUGGUUUACAUA